GUUUCCGCUGAGGCAGAGCCGAGGACCGGAAACGGAAGCUGGACCGCACGGGCCUGACAGAAUCUUGGGAUCGGGAUCAAGAUCGAGAUCGGGACGGGAUCCGGAUGGAGUGUGUUUUACAGUGUGACCUCUCAGCUUGCUCCAAUCACCAUGUGUGUCUGCUGCCAUGCUUCCCCGCUGUGAUGAUGAUGGACCCUUAGCCCUCUGGAACCAUAAACCCCAAAUAAACACUUCCUUCUUGCUGGGGAUCAGACCCAGGACCUAACAUGCUUGGCCAGUUCUGCCACUGAGCUGCACCUCCAGUCACAGCUGAUCUUUACAGUAUGACUUAACAGAACAAAAAACUGAAAAGAAGCCAAAUGUCCAUAACUCAAAGGCAAUGUUUAAAACUACUCAACAAGCCACUGAAUAGUUAUAAAAGGGAAUGCAAAGGAUCUCUAUGUAGCUAUGAAAUUAUUUCUAUGAUAGAGUCUAAUUUUACAGCAAGGAGCAGAAACACUUAUCUUGUGUAAGGUUCUACCGUGCUGUUCUGGUUAUAAUUUUUAUAGACUAUUCUAGAACCAGCUUCUCCCAUUCUUCCAAUGUGUUUUCUAACAAAUAAUUCCCAAAUAUUUUUUGCUUAAAAUCUCUACAACAAUUUCUUCCCACUAACUAUACCUUGGUAUCUAAAACAAGAUAGUAUAUUGAAAGAAUUAUUUCUUAGUACCAUGCUAAGGUGUCAAGACAAUUUUGAUUAACAAAAGUAGAGUUAAAUUAGCACUGAAAUAUUUGCUUAGUAUGGGCUCAUACAUGGUGAAAUUUAACCUAGGGUACUUCAUUUUUUCCAUUUCUAAGAGUCCCUCUUUUUCUCUUCGUGUAGCCUUGGCUGUCCUCAAACUCACUCUGUAGAUAUAAAUGUUUUGGCCACAAAUGCCCAGCUGUUUCUCAGAGCUCUUACAGAAAAUUCAUAUCAAAAGCAUGAGAUACGAAUGCUGGCCAUCGUAUUUAUGUAUUAUAUGUAUACUUGUGCCUCAUACACAAAGAGUAAGACACGCCUUCGGAACUAUAAUGCCCUCUGAUAAGAAUAUGUUGUGUACCCUUUACUCAAAUGAAUUCUGAAAAAUGCAAUAAGAAAAUUAUACAGAAAUCUGUGAAGUGA